rnacentral:lncRNA from 1 species
GGGUAGUAUGCAGAAUUUAACCUGAUAUAGGUCACGAAGUUCUUUGAGCAGUAGGCCCACACCCAGCCCACACUCUGACUCCAAUCUAUUUGCUUUGCAGGGAGACAGAGGAAGGAGUCCACAGAGGCAUCACCAAGUUUCCUGGGAAACAGUAGGUCACACAUCUCCUGGAGCUGCUUCUAGAAGACCUGACCCAGAUGGCAGGAAUCUCACCCACGUGUGUGGAGGCACCACCCCAAUUUGCACACAAGAGUCAUCUGCUUACUUAGCAUCUGGAGCAGGUUGGUCGGGACCAACCUCAUCUGAAGAGCUUCUGGUCAUCUUGAACUUAACUCGUCCCUCAACUGCCUGAAGGUACUUGAUGGUGAGGGCACUUAGUUUCCUGGGACACUGAAGGUACUUGAUGGUGAGGGCACUUAGUUUCCUGGGGCAUUGACUAACUAGCACCCUUCCAGGGAGAUAAAAAUUCUGCCUCAACAGAGAUGGUGCCCUGAGCAUCCCACUGUGUGUUCACACACCUGACUCAGGCACGCCACCUUUGCCUGCAUGAGUGUGCAAGGAUGCACGGGACGUUUGGAUGGUUAUAGUGCUGCAGCAGUACCAUAUAGGAAAAACUAUCAUCUUCUAUUCAAGUGGAAUCUCUAGCUGGUAUGGAGACCUAACAUUCCAGGUGAGUCUAGGCCGAGGGUCCACCCUGCUUCAGGAAUGCCUCUGGAAGGCAGAGCCACCUUAAGCCAUGCUACAGAGACAGGAGGAAUAGCGAGCCCUUUUGUGAGAUAAUGUUCUUUUUCUUACCAGAGCUUCCCUUCUCUAGAGCAGCCACCUGAGGCUGCAGCAAUGCAGCUUUCUAAGUCCGGUCCACUUCUCUAAAUGACUCAGAAAAGCUCUCUCUGUCAUGUGGCUGCCUGUCCACCAUGUGUCUGACCUUCCUCCUGGUGGCUUUACAAAAACCACCAGGCCUUUACUCUUCCUUAUCUCCGUCUCCCUCCUCCAGGCAGCCACCAGGAUUUACAGCUUGUCUGCGU